UACACAUUUGAUGAACUUGUACUUUACUUGAGUCUUCUCUUUUCAUGCAACUUUCUACUUCUAAUCCACUACACAUC